GACGUAGGGGGCCAGCGUUGCUCGGAAUUACUGGGUGUAAAGGGUUCGUAGGCGGUGUGGCAAGUCGGGAGUGAAAUCUCUGGGCUCAACCCAGAGUCUGCUUCCGAAACUGCUGUGCUUGAGUGUGGGAGAGGCGCGUGGAAUUGCAGGUGUAGCGGUGAAAUGCGUAGAUAUCUGCAGGAACACCCGUGGCGAAAGCGGCGCGCUGGACCACUACUGACGCUGAGACACGAAAGCGUGGGUAGCAAACAGG
rnacentral:rRNA from 1 species